GAUGAACGCUGGCGGCGUGCUUAACACAUGCAAGUCGAACGGUGAAGGCGGAGCUUGCUCUGCUGGAUCAGUGGCGAACGGGUGAGUAACACGUGAGCAAUCUGCCCCUGACUCUGGGAUAAGCGCUGGAAACGGCGUCUAAUACUGGAUACGAGCUGCGAAGGCAUCUUCAGCAGCUGGAAAGAACUUCGGUCAGGAAUGAGCUCGCGGCCUAUCAGCUUGUUGGUGAGGUAACGGCUCACCAAGGCGUCGACGGGUAGCCGGCCUGAGAGGGUGACCGGCCACACUGGGACUGAGACACGGCCCAGACUCCUACGGGAGGCAGCAGUGGGGAAUAUUGCACAAUGGGCGAAAGCCUGAUGCAGCAACGCCGCGUGAGGGACGACGGCCUUCGGGUUGUAAACCUCUUUUAGCAGGGAAGAAGCGAAAGUGACGGUACCUGCAGAAAAAGCGCCGGCUAACUACGUG
rnacentral:rRNA from 1 species